rnacentral:rRNA from 1 species
CUACGGGUCGCUGCAGUUAAGAAUAAUCUACAAUGCGCGCAAGCGUGAUAGUUUGAGCCAGAGUGCUUUUCAUUUGAAAAGCUUUUGCCGAAUCUAAAACGUUCGGCGAAUAAGGACUGGGUAAGACGAGUGCCAGCCGCCGCGGUAAUACUCGCGGUCCAAGUCGCAGCCAUUUUUAUUGGGUCUAAAACAUCCGUAGCUUGCUUGAUAAGUCUCUUGUGAAAUUUUACAUCUCAAGUGUGAAGCGCGCAAAGGUACUAUCAAGCUAGAGACUGGAAGACGUAAGAAGUAUGUUCAGAGUAGCGGUAAAAUGUGUUAAUCCUGGACAGACUAACAAUAGCGAAGGCAUCUUACGAGGACAGUUCUGACAGUAAGGGAUGAAGGCCAGGGGCGCAAAACGGAUUAGAUACCCGCGUAAUC